UACGGGGGGGGCAAGCGUUGUUCGGAAUUACUGGGCGUAAAGGGCUCGUAGGCGGCCAACUAAGUCGGAUGUGAAAUCCCUCAGCUUAACUGGGGAACUGCGUGUGAUACUGGAUGGCUUGGAUUUGGGAGAGGGAUGCGGAAUUCCAGGUGUAGCGGUGAAAUGCGUAGAUAUCUGGAGGAACACCGGUGGCGAAGGCGGCAUCCUGGACCAAUAUUGACGCUGAGGAGCGAAAGCCAGGGGAGCAAACGGG
rnacentral:rRNA from 1 species